UUCUUCCUCGUUCUUCAUUUCUUCUCCUUUCUUCUUCUCUUCACCGAAUGGGAGAGUGAGAUGGAGAGUUUGAGGGAGUUGAGAGACAGAGAUAUGAGACCAAGAGAGGGAGUCGAGAGAUUGGGGGAGUGAUCGGGAGAGGAGUGAUCGGAGCCCGAUCCUCCGAUGGGUGGCGCCGACGAGACCAGAGGGCGCCGGCGACGCGAUCUCCGGUGAGCCCGUGAACCAGAGAUGACCCGAGAGAGAGAGAGAGAGAGAACCCGAAACCCGUAGAACCCGUGACCCACGACCCGUGAGGACCCAAUUCUCCAUGAUCGGUGACUGGGACUGAAAUCCGGCGAUGGAGGAGCUCCGGCGGAAUCCAAGAGCUUGAACCCGCGACCUGUGAGCCCAGAAAAUCCGAGAACCCGUGACCGUGACCCGUGUGACCUGCAACCCGCCAGACCUGAGAAGAAGACCCGGUUCUUCAAAGUGAUUUCCGGCGACUUUUCCGGCAGAAUCAGUGGCGUUUUUCGGUGGAUUUGCUAUGAAAAUCCUUGGGGAUCGUGUUAUAAUUGGAGACUUCAAUGGGUUCUCCAAUGUAGAGUUCGAGUUGGAGUCCAAUGCAGCUAAGAUGGUGUUUCUUUGGCUGCAGGUACUUGGGUAUAGUUGAUGGGUUGGUAGCAGUGUACUUGGGAUAUUAUGACUGAAGCUCGCCGCGACAGUUGUAAUUGUCGGACCACGGGUUGUCCACUAUUUUAUAGGUUAGGUAUGACUUGUGACGUUUGUGUCACUUAUUCUUUGUUAAGCCAUUAUUGUUAUGUAAUGAUUGUGUUAAUAAAGACUCAAACAGAUAGACGUUAAAUGACUCAAUGUUGUAAUUAAGUUGUGAUAGAUGUAUAAGUUGUAAUUUUCGCUAUUCAGAUU